ACGGAACGUGGCCGCUCUCCUCAGGAAAGCCCGUCGGCGUCCUCCGGGGGUAGGAGGUAGAGGCAUCACUGGCGGAGGUGAAACCUAACGGUGUGACUUCAUUAGAGGUACACAGAAGUGCUCUGGCAGGGCAACAGGAGUCCUCCAUCGGGCUUUUCAAGGAGUGAAGCAAAAGCAGAUCUGCACAGCCAGUGCACUAACCCUUGCUGCUGCAACGGCAGAACCUGCCCCUCUAAGACAAAGAGUAAAGCAUCUCUGAGAGAAGACUUCAUACACCCACUCACAGUUUUCUAAAACUGCCUAAAGCUUCCUCAUGUCUCACUCUCUGCUCUUGUGUCCCAUCUCCAUUGUCCAACAGAUAGUCAUGACCUCAGACAAGGAGACUGCUCUAAACUAAUGUCUAUAAAUGAUCUCUAUCAUAUGAAUUAAAUUUACAAUAAAAACUACAUUUCAUUUCCAUUUCGUGUGUGAAAUCAUGCAAAGCAGGGAGCUCCAUAAACACUCCACAUCACUAGAGUGAUGUCUAGUGCUUACCACAUGUACAUCAUUUACUGUUUGGGGAUGGAGUUAUAUUUAAAUUAGGCAGCUUGAUAACAUAAUUGGGAUGUUCUAAACUGCUUCCCUGUAAUUACUAUCUGGAAGAAGUAAAGCAUCAUUUCUCAAGCCUA